AACGAACGCUGGCGGCAGGCUUAACACAUGCAAGUCGAACGCGUGUAGCAAUACACGAGUGGCGCACGGGUGAGUAACGCGUGGAUAUCUGCCUUUUGGUUCGGAAUAACCCCGGGAAACUGGGGCUAAUACCGGAUGGUUCCUUCGGGAUAAAGAUUUAUCGCCAAAAGAGGAGUCCGUGCCCGAUUAGCUGGUUGGUGAGGUAACGGCUCACCAAGGCGACGAUCGGUAGCUGGUCUGAGAGGACGAUCAGCCACACUGGGACUGAGACACGGGCCAGAUUCCUACGGGAGGAGGCAGGGGGGAAUAUCGGACAAUGGGGGCAACCCUGAUCCAGCCAUGCCGCGUGAGUGAUGACGGCCGUCGGGUUGUAAGCUAUUUUGGCGGGGACGAUGAUGACGGUACCCGCAGAAUAAGCCCCGGCUAACUUCAUGCCAGCAGCCGCCGUAA
rnacentral:rRNA from 1 species